rnacentral:rRNA from 1 species
GUGGGGAAUUUUGGACAAUGGGCGCAAGCCUGAUCCAGCAAUGCCGCGUGCAGGAAGAAGGCCUUCGGGUUGUAAACUGCUUUUGUACGGAACGAAACGGUCCGGGUUAAUACCCUGGGCUAAUGACGGUACCGUAAGAAUAAGCACCGGCUAACUACGUGCCAGCAGCCGCGGUAAUACGUAGGGUGCAAGCGUUAAUCGGAAUUACUGGGCGUAAAGCGUGCGCAGGCGGUUUUGUAAGACAGGCGUGAAAUCCCCGGGCUCAACCUGGGAAUUGCGGUUGUGACUGCAAGGCUGGGGUGCGGCAGAGGGGGAUGGAAUUCCGCGUGUAGCAGUGAAAUGCGUAGAGAUGCGGAGGAACACCGAUGGCGAAGGCAGCCUCCUGGGAUAACACUGACGCUCAGGCACGAAAGCGUGGGGAGCAAACAGGAUUAGAAACCCUGGUAGUCC